GAGAAAGCCAGAGGUGACUGGUUCCCAGGGGCUGGAGUUAGGCAAUCCUAAUGUGAGGACUGAGACUCCAACUCCAGUGCCCUGGAAGAACAGCAAAUGCUCAGCUUAAUGGCAGAGUGGUAUCUCCAGCCCCUGGGGUCUCUUUUAAAAGGACACUCACAUCAUCCACAGAGUUGAAGCAUCACCCUCCAAGCUUCUAUUCCCGAUACUGAUGAUGACGGUUCACCAGAUGAGUUCAGAUUUCAAAGUGUCACUUUGGGGAAGAAGACACAGUGUUUCCUUUGGGAUGCCUCAUUGCUGCUGAAGACAUCACUACGUCAGAGACAAACUCGUCUUUGCAUUUUCUCAGCCUGCAGUCCACAGCGCUGCCUGCAUCAGUGCUGCUUGGUGGUGCUACUUAAGCCAUCUGCCAUCUGCAUUCAUCGUCUAUCAGAGGAAGCCAGGGGGGCCUGCCAAGACAAUGGUGUAGAACCGUAGUCCUAUGUUUCUCUCCAAGACAAAUUACAGCCUUGGGGAGAAAGUUCUGAAAACCUAGAAGAGGAAUUAAUUGGGAGUUCCAGGAAGAAAAGGUGGGAGACAAUAUAACUGUUGAUAAGCAAGAUAGGAUGCUGCCUAGCCCAUCCCAUGUGAGCCGACCUCAGGAGUCCCUAAGGGUACACAAAAUAAAGCUAUGUGGGACAGCAUGAGGCCUGGCAUCAAGAAUCAUGAAGUGGCAUCAAGUUAAAAGUUAUACAGGAUGAGUGCUUGCAGGGAUGCAGGGCAGAGGUGCAGGCUCCGUUGGUCCAGCGGUGCACAGUGUAUGCUUGGAAGACGGAGACAAGCGCUAUAAACUUUUCUGUAUGAAAAGGAUACAAGAUGUUGUGGCGGUUUUUAAUGACCCUUCUAUUCAAACGAAACCAUUCUCUUCUAAGCAAUGGAUGAACAGUAUAGUAAAGGAGUUGUGAAAAAAAUGCAUCUCAAGGUGGGCAUUGUUUCCUUACUUCUCGGGAUGACAAGUCAUAGGACUUUCGAGUAUGCAGAUGUGGCAGGUGAAUAGACUCUUCCUCUAGCAUGGCCUUUGACCUUGCAGUAAGUCUGAUACGGAGGCAUGUUUUCUAACUCUCACAUCUAAGCCAACCGCAGAAGCUAACCAGGCCAAGAGAACAGAGAGGAGAGAGCCACAGGCUUGGCUCUGCCUGCUUGCUUCGUCCUUGUUCAGCAAGGCACUUGCUAGAGAAACCCCUUUCUCAGCUUUUUUCCAUGGUAAAUGACUGCCACAAUGUGAUCUCAUCUCAGUGAAAGGAAGAAACAAAGUUACCGUGAGCGGUUUUAUUCCCCAGCACGGUUCAGAUACAAAGUAAGCAUCGUCUGAUGUGGAAUUAGGUCAGCCCUUCCCAUAAGCUCCAUAGGGAAAGUAAAUGAGUAACAACCUUUUUAGUCACUCUUCUACCCAUCUGGCUCCCCUCCCCCUUCCUCUCCUUUCUACCUCUUCCUUCCUCCCCUUUCCUUUCCCCUUCCCUUUCUUUCCUUCACAAACAAUUCCAAUCCAAACAUCCAUUCAGACAUCGCAUAAGCAAGGUCUUUGUCCUCUGGGUGGUUGGAGUUCCAGAGGGCAGAAAUGUCUAGAAUCAGGUGCUGCAGUGUAAACCCCUAAAGAGCCCUUAUCCAGGAGAAUGUUUGAGCCUGAGUCAGGAAAGCAAAACACACUUCACCCCCACACAACCACCACCCCUAGAGGUGCAGCCUGGUGCGAGGUGACUGGUUGGUUAAGGAGGGUCAAGAGAAACAGUCUCUGGUAAUCUUCCUUCUGGAAGAGGCUAGAGAGAGGGACUGAAGCUCUGCCCAUUCUACUCUUUCCGCUGUAGAACUCUGAAGCAUUUGAGAACUAUUACUCAAGAGCUAUCAUUCGAGUUUAGGAAGCUAUGUGGGUUAAGGGUCCGAUCAUCCAUGAGACUGAAUCUACCCUAAUAAAAGACAAAGCCAAGCCUCAAAGUCAACUUAUUCAAAGCUCAUCUUUUCAAAAUGGCUACAGUUUGUAUUUUUCUGAAAACUGAAUUUAAAGCCACGCUUUUCGCCUUCUCUUCCUCCUUCUCUUCUUCCGUUCUCCUCUCAUUUAUAGAGCACGGUUCUCAGAUAGAGUUAAUAAGACUGUGUGCGUGCAUGCAUGCGUGCCUGCGUGCCUGCCUGCGUGCGUGCGUGGCAUGGGGUGAGAUUCUACUAAGAGGUUGCUCUAGAGAGAAACCAGGCUAGUUUAUGCACUUAGUUUUUGUUUUGUUUUGCUUUUGCUUGUCAAAUCCAUCUCCAAGAAAGCUUGCAAGUUCAGAUAAAACCAAAUUCAAAAGGAGAGCGAUGAAAGGGUUUUUAUUUGACUUUUUGGAGCAAAGUUGAGGGAAAGUGUCCAUAGACUUCAGUUUAAAUUGAGAGACAGGCAGGGGAGAAAGGAGGUGAGAGCAGAAAGAAGGAUGGAGACAGAAAAAGAGGGGGUAAGAAAUGUUAGUGCACACCCAGGCAAUGAGUGUGAGCGACCCUCUCUAGAGAGCAAGACACCAGAAUCUUAAAAUAUGAACCAUGACUGGUGAGAUGGCUCAGUGGGUAGAGCUGCUUGCUGCCUCGCCUGGAGAUCUAUCUGAGUUUGAUUCCUGGACCCCACAUGAUGGGAAGAAAGAAUUCCUGAAAAUUGUCCUCAGAUUAUCCCAUUCAACCUGUGGCAUGGGCUCUCUGGAACACACACACACACACA
rnacentral:sRNA from 1 species